rnacentral:rRNA from 1 species
CCUACGGGCGGCAGCAGUGGGGAAUAUUGCACAAUGGGCGCAAGCCUGAUGCAGCGACGCCGCGUGCGGGAUGGAGGCCUUCGGGUUGUAAACCGCUUUUGUUCAAGGGCAAGGCACGGUCUUUGGCCGUGUUGAGUGGAUUGUUCGAAUAAGCACCGGCUAACUACGUGCCAGCAGCCGCGGUAAUACGGAGGGUGCAAGCGUUACCCGGAUUUAUGGGGCGUAAAGGGCUCGUAGGCGGUUCGUCGCGGCCGGUGUGAAAGUCCAUCGCCUAACGGUGGAACGGCGACGGGUACGGGCGGGCUGGAGUGCGGAAGGGGAGAGUGGAAUGCCCGGUGUAGCGGUGGAAUGUGUAGAUAUCGGGAAGAACACCAAUUGCGAAGGCAUGUCUCGGAGCCGUUACUGACGCUGAGGAGCGAAAGCGUGGGGAGCGAACAGGAUUAGAUACCCGGGUAGUC